UCAUGUAAUGGUAAAUGUCUG
rnacentral:siRNA from 1 species